rnacentral:lncRNA from 1 species
GUGCUGCUUUUAUUUUUCUACUAGGUGUCUGGUUGGCUGGAUAUAUGGCUGGUUUUGCCACUCCCUCUCCAUCAUGCUGGGAAGCAUUUUGGCUGCAAAAGAAUCAGAUUCUAAGCUAACAAAUAUCCAGGGAGCAACUGUCUCAAAAACUGAGACCAAGGACGAAAACAAGCUCUCCCGACACUUUAAUGUUUCCUCUCCAAGCACCGCUAUCUCAGCAGUGAAGCCUCCUUAUUAAAGAGCAUGUCUUUUCAAAACUGACACCCAAGAAAAAGAAUUUGGAAAAUUGCAUCUAGCAGCCUCAUUUGGACGCACCUACCAGAGGAAUAUAUUUGCAGAUAAG